rnacentral:lncRNA from 1 species
GUUUGAAUGUGUGUUACAAAAAAUAUAAACUUGCAAAAGAUUUGUGGGCUGGAAUAUGUUCCUCGAAGUGGACACGCUCUACUGGCCCUCCAGUGUUCAACAUUUCGCCUGUGAGUUUUUGCAUAUUGGACACCACAAAAUGUCAAUUCCAUUCGUUGUAUAGGUGGAGUGAGUGAGCGUAUGCCGUGUAGUGGGGGAGUUGGCACUUAGUUUAUUUGGUGGACGAUGGCGGACAAUAUAGAAAAUUGAAAUAAAGCGAAGAAAAUGCCAAUGACGUAGAUAAAUGCAAGAGUGGCAAAUUUUCGAUUGUUCGCUUGAGAGCUUUUAGUCACUCAUUGUAGUUGCCCUUUCCUUUCUAUCUAUGUGAUCUAUCUAUGUGUAUC